rnacentral:rRNA from 1 species
UACAGAGGUCUCAAGCGUUGUUCGGAUUCAUUGGGCGUAAAGGGUGCGUAGGUGGCGGGGCAAGUCAGGUGUGAAAUCUCGGGGCUCAACCCCGAAACUGCACUUGAUACUGCCUUGCUAGAGUACUGGAGAGGAGAUUGGAAUUUACGGUGUAGCAGUGAAAUGCGUAGAUAUCGUAAGGAAGACCAGUGGCGAAGGCGAAUCUCUGGACAGUUACUGGCACUGAGGCUCGAAGGCCAGGGGAGCAAACGGG